UACGGGGGGUGCAAGCGUUAAUCGGAAUCACUGGGCGUAAAGGGUGCGUAGGCGGUACGUUAGGUCUGUCGUGAAAUCCCCGGGCUCAACCUGGGAAUGGCGGUAGAAACCGGCGCACUAGAGUAUGGGAGAGGGUGGUGGAAUUCCAGGUGUAGCGGUGAAAUGCGUAGAGAUCUGGAGGAACAUCAGUGGCGAAGGCGGCCACCUGGCCCAAUACUGACGCUGAGGCACGAAAGCGUGGGGAGCAAACAGGAUUAGAUACCCUGGUAGUCCACGCCCUAAACGAUGAAUACUAGAUGUUUGGUACCUAGCGUACUGAGUGUCGUAGCUAACGCGAUAAGUAUUCCGCCUGGGAAGUACGGCCGCAAGGUUAAAACUCAAAGGAAUUGACGGGGGCCCGCACAAGCGGUGGAGCAUGUGGUUUAAUUCGAUGCAACGCGAAGAACCUUACCUGGGCUUGACAUGUCCGGAAUUCUGCAGAGAUGCGGGAGUGUCCUUCGGGGAAUCGGAACACAGGUGCUGCAUGGCUGUCGUCAGUUCGUGUCGUGAGAUGUUGGGUUAAGUCCCGCAACGAGCGCAACCCUUGUCCUUAGUUGCCAGCGGUUCGGCCGGGCACUCUAGGGAGACUGCCGGUGACAAACCGGAGGAAGGUGGGGAUGACGUCAAGUCCUCAUGGCCUUUAUGUCCAGGGCUACACACGUGCUACAAUGGCGCGUACAGAGGGAAGCCAAGCCGCGAGGUGGAGCAGACCCCAGAAAGCGCGUCGUAGUUCGGAUUGCAGUCUGCAACUCGACUGCAUGAAGUCGGAAUCGCUAGUAAUCGCGGAUCAGCAUGCCGCGGUGAAUACGUUUCCGGGCCU
rnacentral:rRNA from 1 species